GUACUGGUGACGAGUCCCAGAUGAGGACGAAACAAAUGUCCAGUAC
rnacentral:hammerhead_ribozyme from 1 species